GUACUACUCCCUCCGUCCGGAAAAGCUUGUCCCCAGCUUGUCUCUCAAAUGGAUGUAUCUAGCACUGACUUGGUGCUAGAUACAUUCAUUUGAGGGACAAGCUUUUUCGGAUGGAGUACUAA
rnacentral:pre_miRNA from 1 species